AAGAGAUCAGAAUUCAGCUUCCCCAGGGACAGCAAGGCCAAGAAGGUGUCCAGAUCCUGGCCUCUCUCCAGAUCUUGGACUCUCUCAAGGCCAAGACUCUCUCUCUUAAGAUCUCUAUCUCAAGGCCAAGAUCUCUCUCCAGAUAUUGGCCUCUCUCAAGGUACUUCCAAGAUCUCAGAGGGCCAUUCACUGUGGAUCUAAUAUGAAGACAGAGAAACCAGCCUUCCAGAGGAGCGGACACAUUUCCUUAGUCCCAGGAUACACUUUGUGUGGAAUCCACAGAUCUGCCCUGAUGAUCAUGAAGGAAUGCGAAAGAGCCUGGUAAAACGAUAUGGACUUGUGCAAAUGCAAAGCAAUGGUGAAGUCAUCACGAACCGCACAGACUGGACAGAACUCCUAUCUGGCUGCAAUGGCUUGGGUUCAGUCAGCCCAGGGGCCAGAGAAUUGGCUACAAAGAGCUCUGGAGUGCCCCUCCCUCCAAAUAAAGUAUUCUAAGCGUG
rnacentral:lncRNA from 1 species